rnacentral:rRNA from 1 species
ACGGAAGGCAGCAGUGAGGAAUAUUGGUCAAUGGGCGGAAGCCUGAACCAGCCAAGUCGCGUGAAGGAUGAAGGUAUUAUGUAUUGUAAACUUCUUUAGACGUAGAGAAAUAAGGGUGUCGUGACACUUGAUGCUAGUAUACGUAGAAUAAGGAUCGGCUAACUCCGUGCCAGCAGCCGCGGUAAUACGGAGGAUCCGAGCGUUAUCCGGAUUUAUUGGGUUUAAAGGGUGCGCAGGCGGUCUUUUAAGUCAGUGGUUAAAUCGUGGAGCUUAACUCCAUCCCGCCAUUGAUACUGGAGGACUUGAUUGCGGUUGAGGUUGGCGGAAUUCGCCGUGUAGCGGUGAAGUGCAUAGAUAUGGCGAAGAACUCCGAUUGCGUAGGCAGCUGACCAAGCCGUAAAUGACGCUCAUGCACGAAAGUGCGGGGAUCGAACAGGAUUAGAUACCCUGGUA